rnacentral:rRNA from 1 species
GACAGAGGGUGCAAACGUUGUUCGGAAUUACUGGGCGUAAAGCGCGUGUAGGCGGCUCUGCAAGUCGGGUGUGAAAUCCCAUGGCUCAACCAUGGAAGUGCAUUCGAAACUGCAGGGCUAGAGUCCUGGAGAGGAAGGUGGAAUGCUUGGUGUAGAGGUGAAAUUCGUAGAUAUCAAGCGGAACACCGGUGGCGAAGGCGGCCUUCUGGACAGUGACUGACGCUGAGGCGCGAAAGCGUGGGGAGCAAACAGG